rnacentral:rRNA from 1 species
GCCAGACUCCUACGGGAGGCAGCAGUGGGGGAUAUUGCACAAUGGGGGAAACCCUGAUGCAGCGACGCCGCGUGAGUGAAGAAGUAAUUCGUUACGUAAAGCUCUAUCAGCAGGGAAGAAAAUGACGGUACCUGACUAAGAAGCCCCGGCUAACUACGUGCCAGCAGCCGCGGUAAUACGUAGGGGGCAAGCGUUAUCCGGAAUUACUGGGUGUAAAGGGAGCGCAGACGGCAGUGCAAGUCUGGAGUGAAAGCCCGGGGCAUAACUACGGGACUGCUCUGGAAACUGUGCAGCUAGAGUGCAGGAGAGGCAGGCGGAAUGCCUAGUGUAGCGGUGAAAUGCGUAGAUAUUAGGAGGAACGCCGGUGGCGAAGGCGGCCUGCUGGACUGUAACUGACGUUGAGGCUCGAAAGCGUGGGGAGCAAACAGGAUCAGAUACCCUGGUA